GGAGCUUCAGUCAACAAAAAUGAAAUCAACAAAAAACAACCAUCACAAAUCAACAUGUUAUCACUUUGAAAAUAGAUUCAAAUAAUUUCAAUCAACAAAAUUUCACAAAUCAAAUAGAUUAAAAAAAUCGGGAAACAUAAAUAGGUGUCUGUCAACAAACCUCUCCCACGAUGUACUCCCAAUAUUCUUUUUCUCCAAUUACAGUGGGUGUUUGAAGAAGAGACAGGUGACGUUUGAGAAAGGGAAAGAGGAUACGAUUGAGAAACCAGUGAAGUUUGAGAUCUCUGGUGAGGUAAGGGAAAGGUGAGUGGUGAGUGAUUCAGUCAACGGUGAGGGGUUUCGGUGGAUUUCGGUCAAUUAGUGAGUGAUACCGGUGAGGUCGAGUGAAUCGUGAGUGAGUUAUGUGACAUCGAGUUAGGGUUUUAUGAGUUUGUGAGUGUGACGCUUUGUUCAGAGGUUUUUUAUUUCUUGUGAGUGAGUUUGUAAGUGAAAUGAAAUAAAAGAGAGAAAUA
rnacentral:lncRNA from 1 species